rnacentral:rRNA from 1 species
GAUGAACGCUGGCGGCGUGCCUAAUACAUGCAAGUCGAGCGAACAGACGAGGAGCUUGCUCCUCUGACGUUAGCGGCGGACGGGUGAGUAACACGUGGAUAACCUACCUAUAAGACUGGGAUAACUUCGGGAAACCGGAGCUAAUACCGGAUAAUAUAUUGAACCGCAUGGUUCAAUAGUGAAAGACGGUUUUGCUGUCACUUAUAGAUGGAUCCGCGCCGCAUUAGCUAGUUGGUAAGGUAACGGCUUACCAAGGCAACGAUGCGUAGCCGACCUGAGAGGGUGAUCGGCCACACUGGAACUGAGACACGGUCCAGACUCCUACGGGAGGCAGCAGUAGGGAAUCUUCCGCAAUGGGCGAAAGCCUGACGCAGCAACGCCGCGUGAGUGAUGAAGGUCUUCGGAUCGUAAAGCUCUGUUAUUAGGGAAGAACAAAUGUAUAAGUAACUAUGCACGUCUUGACGGUACCUAAUCAGAAAGCCACGGCUAACUUCGUG